rnacentral:rRNA from 1 species
GAUGAACGCUGGCGGCGUGCCUAAUACAUGCAAGUCGAGCGAACAGAUGAGGAGCUUGCUCCUCUGACGUUAGCGGCGGACGGGUGAGUAACACGUGGAUAACCUACCUAUAAGACUGGGAUAACUUCGGGAAACCGGAGCUAAUACCGGAUAAUAUAUUGAACCGCAUGGUUCAAUAGUGAAAGACGGUUUUGCUGUCACUUAUAGAUGGAUCCGCGCCGCAUUAGCUAGUUGGUAAGGUAACGGCUUACCAAGGCAACGAUGCGUAGCCGACAUGAGAGGGUGAUCGGCCACACUGGAACUGAGACACGGUCCAGACUCCUACGGGAGGCAGCAGUAGGGAAUCUUCCGCAAUGGGCGAAAGCCUGACGGAGCAACGCCGCGUGAGUGAUGAAGGUCUUCGGAUCGUAAAACUCUGUUAUUAGGGAAGAACAAAUGUGUAAGUAACGAUGCACGUCUUGACGGUACCUAAUCAGAAAGCCACGGCUAACUACGU